rnacentral:sRNA from 1 species
UUGACAAAAAAACAGGGUGGCGCAGUAUUCUAGUCAGUACUGACGAUUCUGAAGACGGGCCUAAAAAUCCGUUUAAGGGCAUAUCGAUGAAGUUCCUUGUGUCGGCUUGUUACGCCCAGUGGUGGGUUGAUGCUGGGAGUUAAGGCUUAGGGGCGAUCCGCAAUGGCAUGCGGGCGUGGACCCCUUUUCCGUGGAGACCCUUACUUGUGGAAGAAAAGUCAAGCUUUUGCUUGCCACCUCGACUACGAAAAGGGAUUAAACCUGUUAUGCGGUGUCUUUAUGAUGGCUGUGAACAGUGUAGCCUGCCUUGAGUGAAAUCAGGUGGAUAAUGGAUCAGAUGCUUCAUGUAUUGGCCGAUAUAUAAGCAUUAUUGCUAUUUGAAACCCUUUUUGCAAAAGAGGCUAGGAAUCGUUUUGACUGCCGGGGAAAACCCCUAGACUGUUCUUAAUAAGUGGUUUAUUGGGGAUUAAAGUGUGGACUAAGUGGUAAUCAGGCCCCGUAAACGGAGACGUACGGUGAUGUGUUUAAAGGGAAACCACUGGUUUGGCGACAUUCCAGCACAUAUCAGGGAAAUCCUGCCUGACCUAAGCCGCAAAAUUUACUCAAUAAACUGCCACCUGUUUUUCUAUUAAA